rnacentral:lncRNA from 1 species
UAAUUACGCAUCUGCUCGAGGAAAAACGAUGGCGGGACGAACUCAAAUCUAGCAGAUGGUAAACGGUCACGUCGGUUACGUAUGAAGGUCACCACACGGUCCAAAGCCUAAAAUGAAAUUCGAGUUAAUCCAUAGAAAUGAUGUACUAAGCAAUAGCCAGUCGUAUUUAAAUAAAGAAAAUACCUCAUGCGAACAAACACCAUUGCAAUGGAAGAGAGGGCCUAAACUUGAAAUAGAAUAACCGGA